UGCUACAAUCUGAAUGUUGGUGUCUCUUCAAACUUCAAGAGUUAAAAAUCCACUCCUCCCUGAGAAGGGCGGUAUGCACCAAAAAGGGAUCGCAGCCCUCCAGGUCAUGGCACUAGGUAUUUUUGUCAGAGCAUCAAGACAGCAACUGAUGCAGCUCUCCGUAUGGGCUCCUCACAUGUACAUAAAUAUGGAAGAAUAUCCAACUGGUUUCAGCCUUGAGUGGGAGUAGGGUCAUAUUGACCAAAAAUUAUUUAGCCCACUACUUAUUUUCCUGCUAGAUUUUCUUAACUUUUCCUUUUUUAAUAAGAAUUUCAGUCUUAUAAAAAUGCAUAAAUAGUGAACAAUCUUAUAAUCCAUUCACAGAGUCACAAUGUGUGCCACGCUUCCUCAGUCCUCUCUAAUCUAGCCUAUCUAUUGCAUUUUAGUUGACUAAAAGCCCAUUUUCAACUUUGAUUACAGGCUUCACCCACACGGCGCUAACCGACUUGGAGGCCAGUACUCUUUCCCGCUGGCACAAAUUCAGCAAGGGUCAUAGGGGACUGGAGAUGGCAGCCCCUAAAACGAUUCUGGGAGCCGGGCGUUGGUGGCGCACGCCUUUAAUCCCAGCACUCAGGAGGCAGAGGCAGGCGGAUCUCUGUGAGUUCGAGGCCAGGCUGGACCGACAGCCUCCAAAACAGAGAAACCCUGUCUCGUAAAACCAAAAAAAAAAAAAUUAAAAUGAUUCUGGGAGUGGUGCUGCUGCCCUGUGUUGGGAGAGAGCGUGUCCAGGGGAGAGACGAUUAAACAAAGAUCUGGGGCUGAGCUUGAACACCAGGUCCAACAGAACCGAUCAAACCAAAGCAGAGUCGGUCAUGCUAAGUGCCAGACUGUGAAAGUGAAGGUGUAAAGGAGCCGAAAGAUCCCAAAGGUGAAAGCAGGUUCCAGUCCACCUAGGCCAGCCAAAUAAGGAUAUCCAAAUAGAUAACUACACGAACAAACAAAUAAAAGUUGAACCAUG